rnacentral:rRNA from 1 species
CAGCCGCCGCGGGAAUACGUAGGGUGCAAGCGUUAAUCGGAAUUACUGGGCGUAAAGCGUGCGCAGGCGGCUAUGCAAGACAGAUGUGAAAUCCCCGGGCUCAACCUGGGAACUGCAUUUGUGACUGCAUGGCUAGAGUACGGUAGAGGGGGAUGGAAUUCCGCGUGUAGCAGUGAAAUGCGUAGGUAUGCGGAGGAACACCGAUGGCGAAGGCAAUCCCCUGGACCUGUACUGACGCUCAUGCACGAAAGCGUGGGGAGCAAACAGGAUUAGAUACCCCCGUAGUCCCUGUCUCUUAUAA